rnacentral:rRNA from 1 species
AUUGAACGCUGGCGGCAGGCCUAACACAUGCAAGUCGAACGAGUGGCGGACGGGUGAGUAAUGUCUGGGGAACUGCCUGGUGGAGGGGGAUAACUACUGGAAACGGUAGCUAAUACCGCAUACCAUCAGGUAUGCCCAGAUGGGAUGAGCUGGUUGGUGGGGUAACGGCUCACCCAGGCGACGAUCCCUGUCUGGUCUGCGAGGAUGACCAGCCACACUGGACCUGCGACACGGUCCCGACUCCUACGGGAGGCAGCAGUGGUGCAGAUUGCACAAUGGGCGCCAGCCUGAUGCAGCCAUGCCGCGGGUAUGAAGAAGGCCGUAGGGUUGUAAAGUACUUUCAGCGAGGAGGCGUUACCCGCAGAAGCAGCACCUGCGAACUCCGUGCCAGCAGCCGCGGUAAUUC